rnacentral:lncRNA from 1 species
CAUUGGUAAGCUGGGACUGCCUGAUUGUAGACAUUUAAGUGAUGUCUGCGUGCUUUGUAAAGAGUGCCCUUCAGCCAGCUGCCCGGCUGGUCACCCCUUCAACCAGCUCUGGUACCAAGCACUGAAAGUGUUUUCACCCUGCCAUGUAAGUAGCAUGAUCUCCAUUCUCCCUGGUAAAGCUGAGGCCGAGGGCAGUGAGGCGAGCAGCCCAAGAGGCCCACAGCAGGUGAGUAAAUCCCACCUUUGAGCUGAGAUCUGAAGUCAGGUUUAUGCAUCUUAUUGCAAAGCCCAGAUCUUCUUCAGUUCCUCACCCUCCCCCAGGAGAAAAUGGAAAGGAAAAGCCGUUGAGAGCAGGAGGGUGAUUCCUACGAGGAGGUACAGGAGGUGGAGGUUUGAAGCGGGAGCUGCAAUAAGCAGAGUCAGAGACCCGGUGGGUUGGCUAGGAGGCUGACUGCCACAUGGCCCAGGUUGGGUGAGGGGAGUAGGGUGGUGCCCGCUUGGGCUCCUGGAUGUGGGAGGGUAAAGCUGCCUGGUCCUGGAGAGGGGGGCUGUGUGUGUGAUGCUGGGGCUCCCUCCUCUAUAUGCAGCCACACCAGCAGUGCCCGUGGAAAGGGUGGCUGUGCCUGGAGUCUGGCAGAAAGGCUGGGGCCCAAGAGGAGUCCUUGAAGGAGAAAUCUCUCCUUCUGCCCUAGAUUGGAGGCUGCAGAAAGUCAUUUGGACCAAGUGGGGGCAGGAUGCCGAGGGCAGAGGAGCUGGCUCCCGUUGGUCCCCUUUCUUUCCUCAUCUCCCUUCCCUCUGAACCCCAGUCCAGGGCCCAGGAGGGCCUGGCAGCCUGUUCCUGGCCUCCCCAGCAGAGGGCUCCAGAGCAGAGCUCAGGAUGGCCAUGGGGAGGGAGCAGCAGAAAGCAUGGACAGUCCGCCCUGCUCACAGGUGUCUAGGUCACAGGUGCUCUUUACUGUUGCACAGGUGUGUCUGUCUAUGUGUGCACCCAUGUGGGUGUGUGCAAGUGUGUACAGUAGACAUAUGUUGUUGUGUGGGCAUGUCAGUGUCGGCACGCGGGCACGACUGCCUGCCUGUGUGUUGGGUGGUAUCUAUUCACAUGUGUUUGCUCAUUUUCUCUUUGCACACGCCAGCACUACUGUGGUCCUUGUGCAUAGUUGUGUGCAUGCGGGUGUCUGUAUGCUUUGUGCAUGGGUGUCUCUGGUUGGCCUUGUGCAGAGAAAGCCGAAAAAUUACUGACAAGGUGUGCUGUGGAAUCUCAUCAUUCUCGAGGACAAGGAUGAGGGACCCCCUGCUCCUUCUGUGCCAUCUGACAUUCACACCCUGACCCAGCCGCCUGACUCCUGCCCUCAAUCAACACAGCCCCUGAAUUUGUUUGUUAAAAUCUCAUUUACAGCAGGUGUAGUUGACAUCCAGUUCCCAGGAAGCAAGUACUUCCAGAGCUGUGUGUGUGUGUGUUCUGGUUCCCUCAUUUGCAGCUCGAAAAUGUUUCUUUUCCAGCAUUUCCAUUGCGGCUCAGAGAGUUAAGAACCCAACUAGUAUCCAUGAAGAUGUGAGUUCGAUCCCUGCCCUUGCUCAUUGGGUUAAGGAUCCGGUGUUGCUACAAGCUGCAGCAUAGAUCACAGAGGAAGCUCGGAUAUGGCUUUGCUGUGACCGUGCUAUAGGCCAGCAGCUGCAGCUCCCAUUCAGCCCCUAGCCUGGGAACCUCCGUAUGGUGCAGGUACAGUCCUGAAAAGCAGAAACAGAAAAUGCUCUUCUUCUUGUUGGGAAUGAGGAGCAGAGCCCCAGAGAAUGCGGGGAAGGUAGAGGGCUGCAGUGGAGAAACAGCAGGCUGGUAGCUGGUUCAUCCAUAGCUGAAGGGAGGCAGCGGCCAUGGGGGCAAGGUCUUGGCCCAGAAGUCUGGGGGGCCCUGGACGGGGCCCAGCUCUGCUACCAGCUGGAGGCCCUGGCUGAUGGGAAGCAGCCCCUCCUGUGGUGGUCUGUGCUGCUGUUCAGCCAGGGCCAUUGGGGAGAACAAAUGGGGUACUCCCCUCACCCUGUGUCGUGUGGAAAAGGCACUUGUCGAAGGGAGUGCGGUCGAGGAUGGCGCCCACCUCAGGAUGGGAGGCUGUAUUGGUUUCCUGUCGCUCCUGUGACAGCUCACCACGAACUUAGUGGUUUAAAAUAAUCCGCAUUUAUUUUACAAUCCUGGGGACCACAAGUCCAAAAUCAGCCUCACCAAGCUAAAGUCAAGGGAUUGGCAGUGCUGUGUGCCUUUUGGAGGCUCUAGGGGAAAUGGGUCUCCUUGCCUUUUCCAGAUUCUAGAAGCUGCCUGCAUCCCUUGGCUUGGGGCCCCUUCCUCCUUCGUGCUGUCACAUCGCCUUUCUAUUGCUUUGGCCUCUUGCCUCCCUCUGGGAAGGACCCUGGUGAUUACCCUGGACCCUCCCAGAUAAUCCAGGACAGUCUCCUCAUCUCAAGCUCCUUGACAUGAUCACAUCUGCCAAGUCCUUUUGGCUGUGAGGUUAACAUUUGUUCACAGGUUCUGGGGAGUAGAUAUGUGGGCCUCUUUUGGGGCCACUGUUUUGUCUACUACCUAGAGAAAUCACAGACAAGCUGGCCAAAGUGGGUAACAGUCUUUUUAAAUUUUUUAUUGGAAUAUGGGCUGACUUACAAAAUUGUGUUAAUUUCAGGUGUACGACAAAGUAAAUCAAUUACACAUAUACAUAUAUCCGUUCCUUUUGACAUUCCUUUUUUUUUUCUCUUCUUUUUUAGGGCAGCCCCUGGGGCAUAUGGACGUGCCCAGGUUACUGGUUGAAUCAGAGCUAUAGCUGCUGGCCUACACCAUAACCAUAGCAACGUGGGAUCCGAGCUGCCUCUGUGGCAUACACCGCAGCUUGUGGCCACGCAGGAUCCUUAACCUGCUGAGCAAGGCGCAGGGAUGGAACCUGUGUCCUCAUGGAUACUAUUUGGGCUUUUAACCCUCUGUGCCACAACGGGAACUCCCCCUUUGGAUAUUCUUGAUCCUCCUGCGGUUUCACUGAGGCACCAGUGGGACCCUCACUCCUGCCGAGGAGCCAUCUGGUCCUGACGUCUCGUCUGGCGGAUUGAGCCCCAGGAACCAGGGUGCGCUGGCUGCCUAAAGGGCCUUUCCUUUCUGCCUGCCUUCCCGGCAGCCCCUGGCCAGGCACCAGCUAUGACCUCAGCCCACACUGACCCUUCGGUUCCCCCCUCACCCCCUCCCAGCCUGCUCCAGAUCCAGCCUCCGGCCCUGUCCAUGCUCCCAGAACACCCCGCGUGACUCGGUUCCUGUUCUGUCACAGCCCCUACUCCCUGCCCCAGAGGCACCCUGGGCUCCAGGCUGCCCACCCGCCACCCAGCCCUCUCCACACGUGUGAAAAGCACACGCAUGGGCGCUCUGCAGCUCCCCGCAGGAAAGCCCAGCCGCAAGACCCAGAGCAGAGGAGAGGGGACACACACAAGCGUGCAGGCCAGUGCCAGGGUUUGGGGAUGGGGGGCGGGGAUCCAAUGGAACGACGGGCCUCCCGGAUGCUGUAUCAAGCCAAACUCCCCAGCAGAGUCAGCACCACAUCUGGAAUUAAGCUGGAAAUUCCAAUUGCUCUCUGCUGCUAAAAAAAAAAUGUGUCAAAUCUUCCCAGAGAUUUUGUGGAAGUGGGAAGCGCUGCGGGGCGGUGGAGGGGAGGGGGGUGCGCUCCCUCCACAGGACCCGUGAGCUUUGGGGAAAUCCAGAUGUCACAAUGUGUCCACAGCCCUCUGGCUGAUGGCUCCCCCAGCCUCCCUCAUCUGUGCUCCCUGCCCCGUGAAAAUUAAAGACGCCUGGAGCAGGGGAGGGGCUGUUUCGCUUCUCCCAAGGACCCACACGUCCGUUCAUGUAAGUGCAUGUGAGACUGUGACUUUUUUUGAUAGGGAUUGAGUUAUUUUUUCCUGGAGAGGAAAACGUUGACAUGCCUUUGGUGGAUCGUCCGCCCAGAAAUUUCCAAUGCAUGAAGAAGCUGUGCUCUUCCCUUUGCUCUAACACACACACACACACACACACACACACACACACACACACGCACACACCUUCCAAAGGCCCAGAACUCACUGUGUGGUCUGAGCCCCUUCAGGGCCUCGCUGCACUGCUAGCCCAGCCCCAACCAGUGCAGGAUGGGGAUUCCAUAGAGCUGGGUCUGCAGGGCCAGGGAAGCUUGGACCACUUGCUUGUUCUCAAUCUCUAGGCAAGUGGAUGAAUUUCCUGUUACUGCUGUAACAAAUCACCACAAGCUGAGUGACUUCAACAACACAAAUAUAUUCUCUUACAAUUCUGGAAGUCGGAAGUCCAAAAUCAGCCUCGCUGGGCUAACGUCAAAGCAUCUCCAGGGGAAAAUCCAUUUCCUUGUCUUUUUUCACAUCUAGAGGCUACCUCUAUUCCUUGGCUUAUGGCCCCUCCCUUCUAUAGCAAGCAUCCUUCUCGGGUCCUUAGCCAGAACAUCAGAGGGUCUCUCUCCCCAAGCCUCUUCCCGUUCUGAUACUAACAUCCUAGGUCUCUGGGACCUUGGGGGAUAUGGGCCCGGCCCCUCCCCUCUCUCCUCUUUGCUGAGUCUCUGGGGCUCGUAUUGUCUCUUUUUGUCCUCUUCCUCCAGCCCAGGAGUCUGACAUCCCAGGCUGGGGCUUUUGCCCCUCAGUUUCAUUCUCAACAAGUGAAGAAUUCAUCCCAGCCCCAACUUAGUUUAGGAUCUGAAUUAUACUUUUCUCCAAGGCAGGGCUCUCGACUGCCCAGCUGUCAUGCGGGGGCCAAGGAUCCUGAUCCCGAUUCAAGGAUGUUGGGUGGGUAUCCAAGACGUCCAAAUGGAGGGGCAGGGAUGCGGGUACCCUUCCUGGCAGUGGUCCUUACCAGCCUGACCUCCCAGAGCUCAGGCCACCCGGUCACAGCGUGACAUUGAAAGUCCCUCGCCAGGGAGAGAGGGAUGAGGCUGACCCAGCCUGGGUAGUCCCAUGGGACCCAAUAGUACAGACUGGUGUCCUUGGUGGCCUCCCGAGUAAAGAGCCUCUUUGAGCCAGACCUUCCUUCUUCCUUUUCUUUCUUCCUUUCCCUCCCUUCCUUUUUGUCUGACCCAGUGCCUGGUCCUUUGUCAGGCACAGGAUAAGAGCUGGAAGGGCUCGGUCCCCCAGCCUGUGAGAAGCACUGCCCAUAGCCCCUCCCAAGCAGUGAGAGUUCCCAAGUGUGGAAGCCAAAUGGGGCUGCCCGAGGUGCCAGGAGGGCUUCCUGGGGCUGGUGGUGCUGCAUUUUCCACCCUCAAACACACUAAAACACUGAGCCACCCGCACACGCCAUGUGAGGGGAGGCAGCCACGCUUCGGCUCGUGCUCUUCCCACUGCUCGACAUCUUUCCACUUGCCUCUCCUGGAUAGCUCUGGCUCAGGUGCCACCUCUUCCAGGAAGCCUUCCCUGAAGUCUGGGGAGGUUGAAUCUCCUCCUUGAUUCUCCUAGCGCCCCACAGAGAGGCUCCUCGUGUCCAAGCCAGAAACUGAUUUUAUGCUGCAGUCAAGAGAACGCCUCGGCCUUGGAGGGGCCUAGAGUGGGAGGGGGACAGUGUCUGGUGAAAUGGCACUGGGCUCUGCUGAGCCUGCUUUUUUUUGAGCCGAUGGGCCCUUACAGAUCCCCCAGUCCAUCGUCCUUUCCGGAUAGUGGUGCUGGGACCAGAAAACCCUUCUCCUGGUUUUAGCCCUCUGUCCUUCCCAUGACCCAUCCCAUCUUGAUGGGGGCUGUGUCCUGACCACCUCAGUGUCCGUGAGUGCUUGGUGAACCAACAUGCGGGGGUGCUUAUGGGGGACCUGAACCCGCCAGAGACAAGUGUUUCGGAGGCACAUGGCAUUGAUGCCACCAUUUGGUCACAUGCUGUCCUAACUCUCAAAGUGGAGCCUAGGUUUCACAUUAUCCCUUUAUGGCAGAGAUGCUAAGAGAAAGAUGGGUCUGAGUUCCAGCUUGGCCUCUUCUGAGCUAUGUAACCUCUUUGAGCUCCCACAUCCUCAUCAGCAAAACGGGGACCCGCGCUGGACAGACCUUUGUUUUGAUGAUUAAAUAAGAUGACAUAUGCCAAGUUCCCAUUGUGGCGCAGCGGAAAUGAAGCUGACUAGUGACCAUGGGGUUGCAGGUUUGAUCCCUGGCCUUGCUCUGUGGGUUGAGGAUCUGGCGUUGCCGUGAGCUUUGAUGUAGGUUGCAGACGCGGCUAGGAGCCAGUGUGGCUGUGGCUGUGGUGUAGGCCUGCAGCUGUAGCUCUGAUUCGAUUCCUAGCCUUGGAACUUCAUGUGCCAAGGGUAUGGCUGGCCCUAAAAAGCAGUAAAUAAAUAAAUAAGAUAACGUAUGAGAAGUCAGCAAUUCUCUGGCACAUAGAUAUGCAUCCGAAUAGUGGCUAAAUAUUCUCCUUCUUCACAAUUUCAUUCUAGGGGCUCAACCUUCUGGAAUCAGGAAAAUUGUCUGAUUAAGUGGAUUCAUGCUGAUUCCAGCCUCAGCUCUAUGCAAAGAGAUUCUGAUUCCCUAAGUCUGGGAAGAGUUCCCAAACUCAUUAUUUUAUUUGUCUUUAUUUUUAAAUAAACAUCCUGGGUGAUCCUGAUGCUUAGCCAGGUUUGGAAGCCACUGGAAUAAGUGAUGAUGGGGUUUUAUGUUCAUAAAGACCAACUUGUGUCCUCAAAAGUAGGGUUUUAGCUUAGAGGUACCUUCCCACGGCCCCUGGAACCACAGCAGGUGGGACCUUCUCUCUCCCCAUGGGGGGAGGGGGUGGCAUCCCUCCAGAGCAGCCCCACAGGAAGGGAUGGGGGCCGCGCCAGCUGUGUCCCCUCCUGCAGCUGUUUCAGUGCCAUAGCCCCGUGGAAACCACUGUGAAAUUCAUUCUCCACAUCUCCCGAAGUUGGGCCAGGUGGCUACUGGCUGGGGCGGCUGAUCCCACCCGACAAGAGGCCUGCGAGCCAGGGAAAUACAGCCACCCGCCUCCACUCAGCACAGGGCCCCCCGUUCCACCCUCCCGGGCCAGUAAGUGCUUUUUGUCCCAGAUCAACUCAAAUCCUCCCCCGGGAAAACUUUUCUUUCCUCAGGAAGCACCCAGCUCUUGCCUUGCUGCAGGUUCUCUCAGGGCUGUCUGGCUCUGGAACCUGGUCAGGACUGGAUCCCGCCUCCCAGGGACCCCUGAGGCCUGGGGCUGAGCUGGCUGCUCUGGGAAAAUGCAAGCGGAGGAGGCGGGAAGCUGCAGAUUCCACUCAUCCGCCCGAGAAUGGCAGCGGGCCGGAGCUCUCCCUGCAGCAGGGAGCUGAGCUUUUUAUGAGCUGCACGGAGCUACAGAAGCAGGGAUUUGGCUGAGGAAGAAGGGAAAGGCCCAGAAUGAGAGCACUGUCCUCCGUCAAGGACACAGGACUGUUGACGUGGGAGAGAUGGGCGCAGCCUCUGGAUCAAGUCCACGGGGAGGAGGAAAUGGUUUUCACUGAAAAACAAAGUUGAAAAACAGUUUACUGAAGGGACAAGAAGGAGGAAAGGGGGUGGGGAACCACCUCAAACUGUCUGAUCAUCAAAAUCACCUAGUCAGUUAAAAAUACAGAUUCCAGUCCUCGUUCCAAGUCAAUAAAAUAUUAUUCUUGGU